rnacentral:rRNA from 1 species
UACAGAGGGUGCGAGCGUUAAUCGGAAUUACUGGGCGUAAAGCGCGCGUAGGCGGCUUUGCAAGUCGAGUGUGAAAUCCCCAGGCUUAACCUGGGAACUGCAUUCGAGACUGCAUAGCUAGAGUAUGGGAGAGGGAAGUGGAAUUUCAGGUGUAGCAGUGAAAUGCGUAGAUAUGCGGAGGAACACCGAUGGCGAAGGCAAUCCCCUGGACCUGUACUGACGCUCAUGCACGAAAGCGUGGGGAGCAAACAGG